GGUUAAGCGACUAAGCGUACACGGUGGAUGCCCUGGCAGUCAGAGGCGAUGAAGGACGUGCUAAUCUGCGAUAAGCGUCGGUAAGGUGAUAUGAACCGUUAUAACCGGCGAUUUCCGAAUGGGGAAACCCAGUGUGUUUCGACACACUAUCAUUAACUGAAUCCAUAGGUUAAUGAGGCGAACCGGGGGAACUGAAACAUCUAAGUACCCCGAGGAAAAGAAAUCAACCGAGAUUCCCCCAGUAGCGGCGAGCGAACGGGGAGCAGCCCAGAGCCUGAAUCAGUGUGUGUGUUAGUGGAAGCGUCUGGAAAGGCGCGCGAUACAGGGUGACAGCCCCGUACACAAAAAUGCACAUGCUGUGAGCUCGAUGAGUAGGGCGGGACACGUGGUAUCCUGUCUGAAUAUGGGGGGACCAUCCUCCAAGGCUAAAUACUCCUGACUGACCGAUAGUGAACCAGUACCGUGAGGGAAAGGCGAAAAGAACCCCGGCGAGGGGAGUGAAAAAGAACCUGAAACCGUGUACGUACAAGCAGUGGGAGCACGCUUAGGCGUGUGACUGCGUACCUUUUGUAUAAUGGGUCAGCGACUUAUAUUCUGUAGCAAGGUUAACCGAAUAGGGGAGCCGAAGGGAAACCGAGUCUUAACUGGGCGUUAAGUUGCAGGGUAUAGACCCGAAACCCGGUGAUCUAGCCAUGGGCAGGUUGAAGGUUGGGUAACACUAACUGGAGGACCGAACCGACUAAUGUUGAAAAAUUAGCGGAUGACUUGUGGCUGGGGGUGAAAGGCCAAUCAAACCGGGAGAUAGCUGGUUCUCCCCGAAAGCUAUUUAGGUAGCGCCUCGUGAAUUCAUCUCCGGGGGUAGAGCACUGUUUCGGCAAGGGGGUCAUCCCGACUUACCAACCCGAUGCAAACUGCGAAUACCGGAGAAUGUUAUCACGGGAGACACACGGCGGGUGCUAACGUCCGUCGUGAAGAGGGAAACAACCCAGACCGCCAGCUAAGGUCCCAAAGUCAUGGUUAAGUGGGAAACGAUGUGGGAAGGCCCAGACAGCCAGGAUGUUGGCUUAGAAGCAGCCAUCAUUUAAAGAAAGCGUAAUAGCUCACUGGUCGAGUCGGCCUGCGCGGAAGAUGUAACGGGGCUAAACCAUGCACCGAAGCUGCGGCAGCGACGCUUAUGCGUUGUUGGGUAGGGGAGCGUUCUGUAAGCCUGCGAAGGUGUGCUGUGAGGCAUGCUGGAGGUAUCAGAAGUGCGAAUGCUGACAUAAGUAACGAUAAAGCGGGUGAAAAGCCCGCUCGCCGGAAGACCAAGGGUUCCUGUCCAACGUUAAUCGGGGCAGGGUGAGUCGACCCCUAAGGCGAGGCCGAAAGGCGUAGUCGAUGGGAAACAGGUUAAUAUUCCUGUACUUGGUGUUACUGCGAAGGGGGGACGGAGAAGGCUAUGUUGGCCGGGCGACGGUUGUCCCGGUUUAAGCGUGUAGGCUGGUUUUCCAGGCAAAUCCGGAAAAUCAAGGCUGAGGCGUGAUGACGAGGCACUACGGUGCUGAAGCAACAAAUGCCCUGCUUCCAGGAAAAGCCUCUAAGCAUCAGGUAACAUCAAAUCGUACCCCAAACCGACACAGGUGGUCAGGUAGAGAAUACCAAGGCGCUUGAGAGAACUCGGGUGAAGGAACUAGGCAAAAUGGUGCCGUAACUUCGGGAGAAGGCACGCUGAUAUGUAGGUGAAGCGACUUGCUCGUGGAGCUGAAAUCAGUCGAAGAUACCAGCUGGCUGCAACUGUUUAUUAAAAACACAGCACUGUGCAAACACGAAAGUGGACGUAUACGGUGUGACGCCUGCCCGGUGCCGGAAGGUUAAUUGAUGGGGUUAGCCGCAAGGCGAAGCUCUUGAUCGAAGCCCCGGUAAACGGCGGCCGUAACUAUAACGGUCCUAAGGUAGCGAAAUUCCUUGUCGGGUAAGUUCCGACCUGCACGAAUGGCGUAAUGAUGGCCAGGCUGUCUCCACCCGAGACUCAGUGAAAUUGAACUCGCUGUGAAGAUGCAGUGUACCCGCGGCAAGACGGAAAGACCCCGUGAACCUUUACUAUAGCUUGACACUGAACAUUGAGCCUUGAUGUGUAGGAUAGGUGGGAGGCUUUGAAGUGUGGACGCCAGUCUGCAUGGAGCCGACCUUGAAAUACCACCCUUUAAUGUUUGAUGUUCUAACGUUGACCCGUAAUCCGGGUUGCGGACAGUGUCUGGUGGGUAGUUUGACUGGGGCGGUCUCCUCCUAAAGAGUAACGGAGGAGCACGAAGGUUGGCUAAUCCUGGUCGGACAUCAGGAGGUUAGUGCAAUGGCAUAAGCCAGCUUGACUGCGAGCGUGACGGCGCGAGCAGGUGCGAAAGCAGGUCAUAGUGAUCCGGUGGUUCUGAAUGGAAGGGCCAUCGCUCAACGGAUAAAAGGUACUCCGGGGAUAACAGGCUGAUACCGCCCAAGAGUUCAUAUCGACGGCGGUGUUUGGCACCUCGAUGUCGGCUCAUCACAUCCUGGGGCUGAAGUAGGUCCCAAGGGUAUGGCUGUUCGCCAUUUAAAGUGGUACGCGAGCUGGGUUUAGAACGUCGUGAGACAGUUCGGUCCCUAUCUGCCGUGGGCGCUGGAGAACUGAGGGGGGCUGCUCCUAGUACGAGAGGACCGGAGUGGACGCAUCACUGGUGUUCGGGUUGUCAUGCCAAUGGCACUGCCCGGUAGCUAAAUGCGGAAGAGAUAAGUGCUGAAAGCAUCUAAGCACGAAACUUGCCCCGAGAUGAGUUCUCCCUGAC
rnacentral:rRNA from 1 species